CCCUCUUCUUCCUUCUUUUUUUUUUCUCUCCUUCCCUCUUUCUUCUCCCACGAAGGGAGAUUGGGCUCGGGAGGACCGGGAAGCGGCCGGCGGCGCCCCCGGCCGCGACUGUGGAGCGCCUGGGGCCGCCCCCGGCAUACGGCGCCCCCCUGCGGCCGGCGCCCGCAGCCACACGGCCGCGCCUGCGGUCGGCGCCCACGGACGGCGUUCUACGGGUAGUACAGGUGCUACGGUCCUGGCUUGGACCUCUCAGGUAGAGUUGGAUGGUCUCGGCAGCUUUCAGCGCGUGAAGCUUCUCAUUUCAUAACCAAGUCUUGGAUCAACCGCCGGGAUUGGCUCAGGUCUCCUCCGACCCAUUUCAGAAAGUUUUCUGCUUUAACCGUGAGAAGUUCAAAUGAUAGCGGAUGGCUACAACAGAAGCUACUCAAUACGAUCUUGUAGAUAUUUUAAUUCUUCUAAACUUUGAUUAUUUUAUUUGUAUAAAGUGGUGAUUGUUUGAUCAAAUGACCGAAAGGAAUAUAUUUGAUCGAUUUACUUGUGUCAUGUCUCCUUUCCCUGCUAUGUUAAUUUUCUAGUUCCGGACCUCAUCUCCAGAAUAAUUCAGCUGGUGUCUACAUGGAUGUAUAUUCUCUACAAGCAUGUGGCAGAUUUGUGUUGAUUGUGUAAGUUGGGCAUACAUCUAAUACAUUGGGAAUGUUGGGAUGGUUGGUUUU